AUUAGUGGGAAAAGAAACAGUGGCUUUUACCUCACGAAACAUGCUCCGACACUCCUUGCUUAUGCAUGGCGACUAUGGAAUGAAGGAAAAGAAUUGGAAUUUUUGGAUCCAUUGUUGGCGGGAUCAUGCCCCGUGACAGAAGUUGUACUAUGCAUUCAUAUCGGGCUUUUGUGUGUCCAAGAAGAUCCAGCAGAUAGGCCCAAUAUGUCAUCUGUGGUUGUUUUGUUGGGAAGUGAAUCAGCAACACUUCCUCAACCAAGACAACCUGCAGUUUCUGUUGGCAGAAUUGCUCAUAUGAAGUCAUCUUCGACCACAGAUCCUUCUGCAAAUCAGGACACUAUUUCUAGCAUAUCACCGCGAUAACUAUCGAAAGGCUGUCUCUUGCCAUGCUUAUCGUGGCAUGCUUUAGCUGGAGAUUGAAAUACUCUUUGUGCAAGUGGCUGUAGAUUAAUAGUAAGGGGAUUAACAAUAGAAGAGAUUUGUGUAGGAUUAAUAAUCCAACUAGAUUACUGGGAUAUGUAAUUUCUUCUUGGCCACGUUUGUUUUGCAAUAUAUAAAACCAUACUUGUCAUUGACACAA